CAGUGCCACAUCCACAUGAGGCCAUUAUAGAGAAAGAACCUGCAGCUCAGUUUAAGUAGUGUGUCUCCCAUCUGUUUGAAAAACAAGCAAAAAACCAAAUAAACAAAUAGGAUGUCACAAGGUGAGGUAUGCUCUAAAUCUCAAGCUUUGGGAGUACUUCAGGAUAGGAAGAAAGCAAUUCUAGCCUUUAUGAUUCUGAGUUUUACAUGAAGUUGUGAAAAUAAGGACAGUAGAGCCAGUGUGCUGCUGCAAACUCUUGACUGUGGCAAAUCCAUGCUGUAUGAACCUUGGUUUGAUUGAGGUCUGCUUUUCUUUUCUCCUCACCUCCUCUUGAGUCUUGCUUCAGAAGCUGAGUCGUAUUGGAGAAUUCACAUGGAAGCCCAGAAUAUCUCCUUGAGUUUUCUGAUUACUUCAUACUCUUUUGAAGGGAGAGAAGGAGAUGAAGUAAUACGAUAAGAUAAUUUAGUAAUUUAUGGGUAAUUCUGAGAAAUUGAAACCAUAAGAUGUGUGCUCAGAGCAAAAUACAAUAGAUGGACCAUGAGUCAAAUGUUUUAUGACAACCUAAUGCCAAAUGUCAUUUGAAAACUCAAAUUGUACCAAACCAAACAUUUACAUCAUGAAAGCCAGUAAGUAGAAAUCUUAAAUUGUUUUCGCCCUUCGUGCUGCAGGCUAUACUAGGUGGAGACUAUUAACCCAUGACUUGAGAUGGCAAUCUAAAAAUUCCUUUUAAAAAUACUUUAAAAUUAUUAAUCCUUUACAUAUUUAGCAAUAUCGUUCUCCAAAGAUCGAAAAGUAGUACCCUAUUAUUUUGUGCCUGACAUUGAGGAAAACAGGUGUUGCUUUAUCUUCGGAUGGGGGAGAUUGGGGGUGUUCAUGUAGCAGGAGCAUGUGCUUCUCUUAUAAAGUGAGACCCAUGAGGAGAGGCAGGUGAGGGUUUGUCUGGUGAAGUACUGUCAACAUGAAAACAAGAGUCAUAAGGCCAACCUAUUAUGUUAUCUGUUGUAAUGAUAACAUAACAUCACUGUAAAAGGAAGUCGGGCUGGGAAGAUUUCACACAAACAGUUAAAUGAAGGAAAUACAUCUAAAUCAAACUGAUUUGGAAUAUAUUUGGAAAUCAUCAUUUACUUGUUAUUAGAACCCAUUCUCUGCAUUAGCCAAAGUUCUCUGGUAGUCCAUUAUCAACAACCUGGGGACGUUUGUACAAGAUGUGGUAUUUGUCCUGGAAUCCAGGAAAAUCCAAGUUCCUCCACAUACUAGCAUAUAAACUGAAGCCAGAGAAGAGGACUGGGAAGCUCAGAGCAUCAGAUUCCCUAACCCCUGUUUUUAUUUUCUGUCAUAACUUACUACAACAAAAUUCAUAGCUAAAAAACAGGGAUUUAUUCCCUCUUGUUUUUUGACACUUGAAGUCUAAACUCAAGGUGCUGGUGGGGCCACACUUCCUCUGAAAGUUCUAGGGAGAAUCCCCACUUUCCCCUUUCCACUUCAAGUGGAUGCUGGCUUUCCUCAGCUUGUGGCAGUGUAACAACAGUCUCUACCUGCUCUUCUCUGUGUCUGUGUAUCCUCUCUUCUUCUCAUAAGGGCAACAUUCAUUGGAGUAAGGGACCCCCUAAGUCCAGAAUGUUUUCAUUUCAAGAAAUUUAAUUAAUUAUGUUUGCAAAGACCCUAUUUCUGAAUAAGGUCAUAUUUUCAGGUCCUGCCUGGACAGGAAGUUUUGAGGGGCAUGAUUCAACCCACUGCACCCAUAAAUUGAGUUGGCAAUUCUUAACUUGUAAGAUCAUUACCAUGAUUGAAAACCUGCCACAUAAAGUGAUUCAUUGUAGGUGAUCAAUAAAUUCUUUGUUUUUAGUGAUACUGCUAUAAUUAUCUCUAUUCUUUACCAAAAUGGGUCUGGAUAUUGAAAUAUAGGUUCAAUUCUUACUCUGUUUUAGGCAUUGAUUAUGUAAGUAGCUUGCAAUAUACAA